CCUACGGGUGGCAGCAGUGAGGAAUAUUGGUCAAUGGACGAGAGUCUGAACCAGCCAAGUAGCGUGAAGGAUGACUGCCCUAUGGGUUGUAAACUUCUUUUAUAAAGGAAUAAAACGAGGCACGUGUGCCUUUUUGCAUGUACUUUAUGAAUAAGGAUCGGCUAACUCCGUGCCAGCAGCCGCGGUAAUACGGAGGAUCCGAGCGUUAUCCGGAUUUAUUGGGUUUAAAGGGAGCGUAGAUGGGUUGUUAAGUCAGUUGUGAAAGUUUGCGGCUCAACCGUAAAAUUGCAAUUGAUACUGGCAGUCGUGAGGACAGUUGAGGUAGGCGGAAUUCGUGGUGGAGCGGUGAAAUGCUUAGAUAGCACGAAGAACCCCGAUUGCGAAGGCAGCUUACUAAACUGUGACUGACAUUGAUGCUCGAAAGUGUGGGUAUCAAACAGGAUUAGAUACCCGUGUAGUC
rnacentral:rRNA from 1 species